UGUCAUCUUAGGGGAAUUAAAAAACACGCCAAUCAGAUCAAUAGGGCGGCUGUGGGAGGAAUUGAAAGAAAAUUGCAGCUGCCUUUAUAUAUUUCACAUGCCAACUUGGAGGAAAAACAUUUUUGGAGGCUUUUGCUGAAUUUAAAAGUAUACAUACACAUUCCGUACACCGGCAGACAGGAUUGGAAAAGGAAAAAGAGCUGUUGUGUUUUAUGAUAUAUAGACAAAAAGGCAGCUGGAUUUGGAAAGAAGUUGAAGAAAAUUAUACUAAAUAAAAAUCGCAACAUUGUGGGGAGUCAUAUACACGGUGUUGGCAGCUGCAAUAUACAAGGAAAAGGAGGGGGAUUUGAUUCUAAAUUGGAGACUGCAAAAAAAGGGGCAGCUUGCUGGGGAAUUUGUUUACAAACCAAUUGGGGGAAAAACAUGUCUACCUAGACAAGCCACGCACGCGCAAAAGUGGAGAAAAUUUGUGGAGUUAAUCACGUUCCGUCAAUUUCUCGAUGAGCAGCUAGUUAGGGAAUUGGAUACCAACUAUAAGGACUCCGAUGAGUUGCAAAGCAUUGAUAGUAAAGGAAGGAUGAUACAACUUCAAGAAAAAGAGCUUCAACUGAUGCUUUCGAUACAAGGACUGAUGUGAAGGACCUAAUGUUCAAAAAUGGUAACUUCAACACAUUAUUUACCUUACUUUAAACUAUUCUUUAUGGAUGAUUGAUAUGAUUCCAUUUUCUAAUUGUUAUGGUUAAUAUUUAAGUCCAUGUCAAUGUUAAGGCUACCAUCACUACACAUUCAGUUAGAAACAAUAGGGUGAUCAAAUAAUGAUGCAUUGAGAUUGAGAGCCGAACGUAAUGAAAAGUGUCCAUGUGUAUUUUAUACUACCAAUGAGCAUAAGAAGACAAAUUGGGUGAUCAAAACAUAUGUAGAAGAGCAUAUUUGCCCUGUGGUGUAUAAGAAUUUUUGAGUGAGCUCGACUUAUUUGACAAAUAGAUAUUUAUCUGACUGGAGGUCUGAACUAAAAUGUUGGUAAGCACAUUCACAAAGAGGGUUAAAAGGGAUGGUUUAGGUCAUAAUUCACAUUGGCGAGCGAAUGUAUAGAACAAAGGAGAAAUCACUUGAAAAGAAUUAGCUUGAAGAUAACUUUAGUGUCUCACACAAGAGAUUAGUUUUGAAGCGUUGUCUUCAAGAUGCGGCCAAAGCCACUGUGCUACUGUAGCUUGAACACAUGCAAAAGAUGUUGAACUUGGACCCAGAUGUGUCUGGUUGGCUUGAACCAAAAACAGCAUCCUAUUGGAAAAAAUCCCAUUCAAAGAGUAAGCACAGUGUAACAUGCUUUUGUACAAUUUUUGUGAAUCAUUCAAUAGCACAAUUGUCAAUGCAAGAGAAAAGCUCAUUCUAACUAUGCUUGAGGAGAUUAGGGUAUAUUUCAUGAAGAAAAUUAUAGCCCGCAGAGAGUUAGCUGAUAGAUGGACAGGAUUACGGCCAUAAAAUCCAAAAGAUUCUCGACAAAAAUAGUAAGUUGGCAAGAUUUGAGUGAGCUGAAAAUUUGAUAUAAUACAAGCAUUGUACUACAUGUUGUUGACCUCAAGGCAAGAACUUGUACAUGUCGUGCUUAGCAAUUAUUAAGAAUCACUUGUUGCCAUGUGAUUAUCUCAGUGGUAUUUAAAGGCCUUAGUGUAAUUGAUGUAACUAUCAUGUACAAAAAUGAGUCUUACCUCAUGACAUAUAUGCCAUCAAUUUUUCCCAUGAUUGGUCCAGACUCAUGGCCUAGUCCAGAUGUCAACCCUCCAAGUCCACCUAUGUACGCCAAAAAGUCUGGGAGGCCAAAAAAGAGCAGGCAAAAAGAGCCAAAUGAGGUGCAGUCUUCAAGUCAGGCGAAGAAGUCCAAAAAGUCUUUGCAAAAUGAAAGCCCCUCAAAAAGCAGGGAAGAGAGGAUGAUGACUCAGACAUGUCGAAAAUGUGGUGAACUAGGGCACAAUAGGAGCUACUACAGAUGGAUACCACCACCAGCACCUAAUUAGUGACUUAAUUUAUUUAUUUAUUGGUUUUUGUUGAAUGCACUUGUAGAGAGUUGGAGGUUAGGCUAAAUUGUAAAUUUCUUUUGUUGAUGUGUCUAAAUGAUUGAUAGUAUAAGAGUCAAAAUGUUGUGUAUGACCUUACAUAACCUUUUCGUUGUUGCUAAAAGUCUUCAUUAUGCUUAUUUUAGAUACAAAUUUGGUUGUGACUCUUAAUUCUGUUGCUAAGUUUUUUGUUCAGUAUGUUGAAACACUA